GUCAGGACGAACGCNGGCGGCGUGCNUAAUACAUGCAAGUCGAACGCUUCUUUUUCAUCGAACUUCGGUUCACCGAAAAAGAAGAGUGGCGAACGGGUGAGUAACACGUGGGUAACCUACCCAUCAGCGGGGGAUAACACUUGGAAACAGGUGCUAAUACCGCAUAAUCUUUUUCUCCGCCUGGAGAAAGAGUGAAAGGCGCUUUUGCGUCAAUGAUGGAUGGACCCGCGCUGCAUUAGCUAGUUGGUGAGGUAACGGCUCACCAAGGCCACGAUGCAUAGCCGACCUGAGAGGGUGAUUGGCCACACUGGGAAUGAGACACGGCCCAGACUCCUACGGGAGGCAGCAGUAGGGAAUUUUCGGCAAUGGACGAAAGUUUGACCGAGCAACGCCGCGUGAGUGAAGAAGGUUUUCGGAUCGUAAAACUCUGUUGUUAGAGAAGAAUAAGGAUGAGAGUAAAAAGUUCAUCCCUGAC
rnacentral:rRNA from 1 species